rnacentral:tRNA from 2 species
GCAGACAUGGCGAAACUGGUAUACGCGCUAUCUUGAGGGGGUAGUGAGCAAUUGCUCGUGCGAGUUCAAAUCUCGCUGUCUGCACCA